UGUAGGUGUGUCCAGGUGUAGCUAGAUGUGUCCAGGUGUAGCUAGGUGUGUCCAGGUGUAGGUGUGUCCAGGUGUAGGUGUGUCCAGGUGUAGCUAGAUGUGUCCAGGCGUAGCUAGGUGUGUCCAGGUGUAGCUAGGUGUGUCCAGGUGUAGGUGUGUCCAGGUGUAGCUAGGUGUGUCCAGGUGUAGGUGUGUCCAGGUGUAGGUGUGUCCAGGUGUAGGUGUGUCCAGGUGUAGGUGUGUCUUGGUCCAGGUGUGCUCAGGUCAGGUUGGGGGGGAUCCUUCUCCACAGUCCUCCACACAGACAGUUCUUUAUCCAGCGCUGCUCCCACUGCUUCAUGG